GCACCUGGGCAGGGAGUCAGGCUCAGGAGCUGACUCCACCAAGCACUGGCUAUGUGAAUCUGGCAAGCUACUUGACUCCUUCGCUUGUUGGUUUCUUCAUUCUGUAAAAUGGAUGUGAAUGACAUCCAGCUUGUAGGGUGGUUGAAAAAUGAACUGGACAGACAUCUUCAAUUUGAAGGACAUGUCUCCCUAAAUUACUCAAGCUGGUCUCAAACUUAUAAUACUCCUGCCUUACCCUCCCGAGGAACUGGAAUCACAGGGGUAGAACCCAGUGCCUACACAUGCUAGCCCACCUUCAACCUCAGACCGGCAGCCAGAGGUAACAAGGACAGAGAGAAACAUAGAAAGAGGAGAGAAGAAAGAAGAUGGAGGAAGGAGGAAGGACAAAUGGAAGGCAUGUGAGAGAUUCUCUGGGCAGUUGGUAGCCACUUCCGCUGGGGAGAUUUACCACCACCAUCGUGAAGGGCAGGCAAAACCCCUAUGAACUGGCCGCCACCUUGU